GCUGCGAUCUCGGCUAUGGCGUCGUUACUUUGGGGAGGCGACGCCGGGGCGGCGGAGAGCGAGCGGCUGAACAGUCAUUUUUCAAACCUCAUCCACCCCCGGAAGAACCUUCGGGGUAUUAGGAGUACUACAGUCCCAAACGUAGAUGGUUCUAAUAACACGGAAGAUGAUGAUGAAGACGAUGUAGUGGAUUUGGCAGCCAAUUCACUCUUAAACAAAUUAAUCCGGCAGUCAUUAGUAGAAUCCAGUCACCGAGUUGAAGUCUUACAGAAGGACCCCAGCUCUCCACUCUACUCAGUGAAAACAUUUGAAGAGCUGCGGCUGAAGGAAGAGUUAUUAAAAGGGAUCUACGCAAUGGGCUUUAAUAGACCAUCCAAAAUCCAAGAGAUGGCUCUCCCUAUGAUGCUGGCACACCCACCUCAGAACCUCAUAGCCCAGAGCCAAUCUGGAACAGGAAAAACAGCUGCUUUUGUGUUGGCAAUGCUAAGCCGAGUUAAUACCUUGGAAUUGUUCCCACAGUGCCUCUGUCUAGCUCCUACUUACGAACUGGCUCUGCAGACUGGUCGUGUGGUCGAACGGAUGGGAAAAUUCUGUGUGGAUGUUCAAGUGAUGUACGCCAUUCGAGGGAAUCACAUUCCCAGAGGAACCGAUGUCACCAAACAGAUUAUAAUCGGCACUCCUGGGACUGUCCUAGAUUGGUGUUUCAAGCGAAAAUUAAUUGAUCUGACUAAGAUCCGUGUAUUUGUCCUGGAUGAAGCAGACGUGAUGAUUGACACACAAGGAUUCUCAGACCAAAGCAUUCGUAUUCAGAGAGCUUUACCUUCUGAGUGCCAGAUGCUCCUCUUCUCAGCAACCUUUGAGGACUCUGUGUGGCAGUUUGCAGAGCGAAUCAUUCCUGACCCUAAUGUUAUCAAGUUACGAAAAGAGGAGCUGACCCUGAACAACAUCCGACAGUAUUACGUGCUGUGUGAGAAUAGGAAAGACAAAUACCAAGCUCUGUGCAACAUCUAUGGUGGCAUCACCAUUGGUCAGGCCAUCAUCUUCUGCCAGACUCGUCGAAAUGCCAAGUGGUUGACUGUGGAGAUGAUGCAGGAUGGCCACCAAGUGUCUUUGUUAAGCGGAGAGCUGACCGUGGAUCAGCGAGCCUCCAUCAUUCAGAGGUUUCGGGAUGGGAAAGAGAAAGUUCUUAUAACAACCAAUGUCUGUGCUCGAGGGAUUGAUGUGAAGCAGGUCACAAUUGUUGUGAACUUUGAUCUCCCUGUAAACCAAGCUGAGGAGCCAGACUAUGAGACCUACCUUCACCGCAUAGGGCGGACGGGGCGCUUCGGGAAGAAAGGCCUGGCCUUCAACAUGAUUGAGGUGGAUAAGCUACCCCUGCUUAUGAAGAUCCAGGAUCACUUUAGAUAGUCCUAAAUUCUGAGAUCUGCUGCCCUUCUUCCCACCCCACAUCCAAACAAGGCAGACUCUGGUAACCUUCUGGGCUCUUGGACCAGCAGCUUGCACUCUGAUGGAAGCUCUGAUGGAAGUUCUGAUGGUAACCUGAGGCAUCCACUUCUCAGUUACCCCUGGCCCCAAGGCCCACGGACAUGACUGGGGAGCAGGGGGAGAGGUACACGCGAAUGACCCCGAAUAUAUCUUCACCUUUUGGGAAAACGAUAGCAGUAUCAAGCAGCUCGACCCUGAAGACAUGGAUGAGAUUGAAAAGAUUGAAUAUUGAAG